ensembl:snoRNA
ACUGACUGUAGAAGUGUUGUUUGCAAGUCAGGCUGCUAUGUCACAUGUGCAUGAGUUGGUGGCACAGAGGAGUGAGUUUGUGGCUAUGCUCAGUGUUCUGACCUAUUAAUAGUUGAAUGAUUAGUAGUUUAACAUU